GAGUCUCAAGUUGAACUCCAAAAGCUGGAAGAAUUAGAACAGACUCUUUCUUAACUGGCUUCUUUAGAAAUAACCUCAUAAGCAAUGUCAUGAUAACUAAGCUCCAAAUAUGAAGAGUAUCUAGCUUUCCCUGCCGGAAUAACAGAAAGGUGGGAUAGGCAAAAAGGAGAAGAGUAAAUAGGCAUAAAUUGAAACCCUUUUCUCUACUCCUUCGAACCACAAUAUGGUGAGCGUCAAUGGCUUCAGGUGGGCCUUUACCCACUUCAUGUACGUAUGUGUAUUUUCCUACUGCAAUGGCCAAUGCCUCCGCCAUGCCACUGUUACUCCGGCAUCAACGUCGACGAAUUGCAG
rnacentral:misc_RNA from 1 species